CAGACUGUACUUUCAGGGAUCAUUUGUACAGUGUGUAACCAGAGAAGUUUCUCUGAACAUGUAGAGCAUCAGGAACCAUGAGGAGGGAGCUCAGCGUUCUCUCCCGAGCGUGAAGCCGGCUCUUGGUGUUGCUUUGCUGUAACUGCCAUUUGCCAUUGAUGGUCGCUCUUCUCGCCUUUCUUGGGCAGUAAGAGGGAGAGGAAGAAAAAAGAU
rnacentral:snoRNA from 1 species